rnacentral:lncRNA from 1 species
CAUAAGUCACUGACAUGGGAAUUCCAGGUUAUUUUUCUCCUGAGAAAUUUAAUUCAGUAGCAAUAUUACCAACUUGUGAUGAACACACUACUUGUGAAUGUUAUUAAAGUGCUUUUAAGAAUGCUUAAAUAAUUUUUCAACAUGGUAAAUUUCUAUACUUUAAAUUUAUGUCCAAUAUUAAUUUGCUUAGUGAUUAUUUUUUCACAUUUAGUCUUGACUUAGAGAU